rnacentral:tRNA from 1 species
GAGGGUAUAGCUCAAGUGGUAGAACUCAUGCUUAGCAUGCAUGAUACCUGGGUUCAAUCCAGUACCUCCU